AUUGAACGCUGGCGGCAGGCCUAACACAUGCAAGUCGAACGAGUGGCGGACGGGUGAGUAAUGUCUGGGAAACUGCCUGAUGGAGGGGGAUAACUACUGGAAACGGUAGCUAAUACCGCAUACCAUCAGAUGUGCCCAGAUGGGAUUAGCGAGUUGGUGGGGUAACGUCUCACCAAGGCGACGAUCCCUAGCUGGUCUGAGAGGAUGACCAGCCACACGGGAACUGAGACACGGGCCAGACUCCGACGUGAGGCAGCAGUGGGGAAUAUUGCACAAUGGGCGCGAGCCUGAUGCAGCCAUGCCGCGUGUAUGAAGAAGGCCUUCGGGUUGUAAAGUACUUGCAGCGGGGAGGCGUUACCCGCAGAAGAAGCACCGGCUAACUCCGUGCCAGCAGCCGCGGUAAUUC
rnacentral:rRNA from 1 species